GAGAGAGACAGACAGAGAGAGAGAGAGAGAGAGGCGUUCCGGGCCGGUCUAAAAACAUACGGCUUAUUACUGCUGAAAGAAUACAAAGGUCCGCGUUGUGUUCUUCUCCCUCGUUGAAAUGAACC